rnacentral:piRNA from 1 species
UGCAAGGUGUCUUAUGGGAUUUGA